GUGGUUUUGUACCUGGCAUUCAGUGUAGAAAUCUGUGUUUGCGAACCUACAGCUACAUUGUCUGCUGGGUUUCAGAGCCGCCUU
rfam:Astyanax mexicanus chromosome 13, whole genome shotgun sequence.